rnacentral:rRNA from 1 species
GACGAACGCUGGCGGCGUGCUUAACGCAUGCAAGUCGAACGGAAAGGCCCUGCUUUUGUGGGGUGCUCGAGUGGCGAACGGGUGAGUAACACGUGAGUAACCUGCCCUUGACUUUGGGAUAACUUCAGGAAACUGGGGCUAAUACCGGAUAGGAGCUCCUGCUGCAUGGUGGGGGUUGGAAAGUUUCGGCGGUUGGGGAUGGACUCGCGGCUUAUCAGCUUGUUGGUGGGGUAGUGGCUUACCAAGGCUUUGACGGGUAGCCGGCCUGAGGGUGACCGGCCAAAUGGGGACGGGGAUACGGCCCAGAUUCUUACGGGGGGCAGAGGUGGGGAUUAUUGCACAAGGGGCGGAGGCCGGAUGCAGCAACGCCGCGUGCGGGAUGACGGCCUUCGGGUGGUAAACCGCUUUCGCCGGUGACGAGGCGUGGGUGACGUUAAUGGUAAAGAAGCACCGGCUAACUACGUG